rnacentral:tRNA from 1 species
ACCCUUGUGCGUCACACUGGUUAGUAUUCCCGCCUAUCACGCGGGUGACCCGGGUUCGAUCCCCGGCAACAGCG